rnacentral:rRNA from 1 species
UAGAGUAAUGCGUGACCAACCUGCCCCAUGCUCCAGAAUAGCUCUUGGAAACGGGUGGUAAUGCUGGAUGCUCCAACUUGACGCAUGUCUUGUUGGGAAAGUGUUUAGUGGCAUGGGAUGGGGUCGCGUCCUAUCAGCUUGUAGGCGGGGUAAUGGCCCACCUAGGCUUCGACGGGUAGCCGGCCUGAGAGGGCGGACGGCCACAUUGGACUGAGAUACGGCCCAGACUCCUACGGGAGGCAGCAGCG